rnacentral:rRNA from 1 species
UACGUAGGGUGCAAGCGUUGUCCGGAAUUACUGGGCGUAAAGAGCUCGUAGGCGGCUUGUCACGUCUGCUGUGAAAACUCGGGGCUUAACCCCGGGCCUGCAGUGGGUACGGGCAGACUAGAGUGCGGUAGGGGAGACUGGAAUUCCUGGUGUAGCGGUGAAAUGCGCAGAUAUCAGGAGGAACACCGGUGGCGAAGGCGGGUCUCUGGGCCGUAACUGACGCUGAGGCGCGAAAGCGUGGGGAGCAAACGGG